rnacentral:lncRNA from 1 species
CUAAAGAUCGAACAGCUCAAAAUAAAUCCGAGUUUCUGGACAUAUUGAUACAGACUAACGUUACCCAAACUUUUUUCAGUGAGGGAACAUUUCAAAAGUUCCUAAAUCUCAAGUGAUGAAUAGGGCAUAAUAAGAAGUGUAAACAAUAAUAAAUUGAACCAAAAAACUGGCCUGACCGCCCAAGCAAUAGAACAACACAAGAACCCAACAACAAGAUAAGGAAACUCAAAUGGAGUAGGCUGAGGAUCCAUUUCACAGAUAAUCAUGUCCAGUUUUUGUAGCGUUUUUCCUCUUAGAGAACGAUCUAUGAUAUUUUUACUUGCUCCUUGUUCUUUAUUAAAUCAAAUAUAUUUUCGUAGUUAAAUGAUAAGACAAUUCGAUGUGGACUACAACCAUACUAACCUCGGUGGGCUAUUGCUAUGACACAUUAUUGAUGCAAAACGAAAUCCACAACCAGAUCGUAGAGAUGCUGCGUACCAUAAGUAAAAGGUACCAAACUUAAAAGGAAUCAAACACAUCCUGUCUAAGUAUACAUCGAAUAAAACAACGUCUUAUGAUAGGAGAGGACCUCGGCUUAUAAACAUUCUACCAUAAAACUGAAAAAUAUUAAAAUGUAUUUGUUUUUUAUUGACCGAAGCGCGUUUUGCCUCUAUUCUUGUCUAACAUAAACUCUUUGA